rnacentral:lncRNA from 1 species
GGCCCAAACGGUCCAGCUUUCUCGGCCACCUCCAAAGCAAGCUUCAAGUUCUGAUCAAACAAUUCACAUCUGAUGGGCAUCUCCAGGGAGUAGAAAGGAUUCUUCAGAGCAAAGUCAGAGUAAAUCUCAUAGAUCUUGCGGAGCAGGGCAUCUAUCCCUGCCUGCCUGGGGUCAGCGAGGACCACAAAUUUGAUUCCUGUCAGCGUCUGGAAGCAGUGCAGCUUGAAGGUGUCGGUCUCCAGCAUCUCGAUGCCCGAGCUGCCCACCUCCGGGGAGAGCUGCGAGCCGAUAGCGAACAGCCUGCAAGGAAACGGCCCUGAGCCCCCGGCCCUCAACGCCCGCCCCCCGGCCCCGCUGCCCGCCGCCCCCGGCUUACGAGUGGAACAUAGAG